GCCUGGCUGGCCCAGUCGGCAGAGCAUGUGACUCCUUAUCUCAGAGUUAUGGGUUUGAGCCCCAUGUUAGAUG
rnacentral:tRNA from 1 species